rnacentral:rRNA from 1 species
GAUGAACGCUGGCGGCGUGCCUAAUACAUGCAAGUCGAACGAUGUCUUCGGACAUAGUGGCGAACGGGUGAGUAACACGUUGGUACCUACCCUCUAGUGGGGAAUAACUGGCCGAAAGGUCGGCUAAUACCGCAUAAUACCGCAAGGUUAAAGCAGUAAUGCGCUAGAGGAGGGGCCUGCGUCCCAUUAGCUUGUUGGUAGUGUAAUGGACUACCAAGGCGACGAUGGGUAGCUGGAUCGAGAGGUUGACCAGCCACACUGGGACUGAGAUACGGCCCAGACUCCUACGGGAGGCAGCAGUAAGGAAUCUUCCGCAAUGGACGAAAGUCUGACGGAGCAACGCCGCGUGAGUGAUGAAGGCUUUCGGGUCGUAAAACUCUGUUGUUAGGGAAGAACAAGUGCUAGUUGAAUAAGCUGGCACCUUGACGGUACCUAACCAGAAAGCCACGGCCA